rnacentral:rRNA from 1 species
GACGUAGGAUGCGAGCGUUAUUCGGAUUUAUUGGGCGUAAAGCGUGCGUAGGCGGCUGUUUAAGUCUGGUGUUAAAGCUAGGGGCUCAACCCCUGUGGUGCAUCGGAUACUGGGCAGCUUGAGUGCGGUAGGGGAAGGUGGAAUUCCGAGUGUAGCGGUGAAAUGCGUAGAUAUUCGGAAGAACACCGGUGGCGAAGGCGACCUUCUGGGCCGCAACUGACGCUCAGGUGCGAAAGCCAGGGGAGCGAACGGG